CCCCUUGUGGAGCGCAUGCUGUGUGACCCGCGCCUGUCUUUCCCGCCGCCGCCCCGCCAGGGCCCAUCUCAGGUUCGACCGGCUGCGUUUCAAGAGCUCAGCAAGCACGUGGCUCCUGCAUUGGACCCUGCAAUGCUAGUUGGGGAGACAGAAAAGAAAUGAAGCGGAUUCCACAUCAAGUGGUGGAAAGGGUUUCGGGAGAGAGAGAGACAGAGACAGAGCACG